rnacentral:rRNA from 1 species
UGGGGAAUAUUGGACAAUGGGGGAACCCUGAUCCAGCCAUGCCGCGUGUGUGAAGAAGGCCUUAUGGUUGUAAAGCACUUUAAGCGAGGAGGAGGCUACUGAGACUAAUACUCUUGGAUAGUGGACGUUACUCGCAGAAUAAGCACCGGCUAACUCUGUGCCGGCAGCCGCGGUAAUACAGAGGGUGCGAGCGUUAAUCGGAUUUACUGGGCGUAAAGCGUGCGUAGGCUGGCUUUUAAGUCGGAUGUGAAAUCCCCGAGCUUAACUUGGGAAUUGCAUUNGAUACUGGGAAGCUAGAGUAUGGGAGAGGAUGGUAGAAUUCCAGGUGUAGCGGUGAAAUGCGUAGAGAUCUGGAGGAAUACCGAUGGCGAAGGCAGCCAUCUGGCCUAAUACUGACGCUGAGGUACGAAAGCAUGGGGAGCAAACAGGAUUAGAUACCCUGGUAGUCCAUGCCGUAAAACGAUGUCUACUAGCCGUUGGGGCCUUUGAGGCUUUAGUGGCNCAGCUGAACGCGAUAAGUAGNCCGCCUGGGGAGUACGGUCGCAAGACUAAAACUCAAAUGAAUUGACGGGGUCAUNGCUGUUU